GCUGUUUAUUCUAACAAGGUCCACAAGUCUGCCGCCGAGAUAAGGAGGCUACACAUUUCAGAGGACUUGUGCCUUCGCUUAGAUCUAAUCAAAUUUGACGCUCUGCAGAGCACUGCGACUUUUUAACAAGUGGAACUGGUUUCGGAGGGGAGGCAAGGGGCACGGGAAGGUCAACUUAUUAUCAAUAUUAGAGGAAGCGGCGUGAUCUCAUGGGAGACAUCUAUGUGUAUGAUGAUCAACUAGCAAACAAUGCCUUUCGUGAGUGUAACCGGUGCAGUCGACCAGACUCGGACCCGUGUGCCGACUCAACAGCUCGGCCUCAUCGCUCCCACAGCUGUGCAGUGAUUCACUUGAAGCGCUUGUCGGGGGACGUGAGCCACGCCGACCGGGCCAAAGCAGGAACCCGCGCAGCGGGCGGGAGCCCGGCUGAUUUACAACUUCAACAAGAAGAACAGCUGCUCUGCUCACAGUCUACUAAGCUCAUCCCAAAUGGAUAUCCAUCCACUGCUUAAUUUAGUAUGACCACUACAAGCUCACUGAUACUACGCGCAUACUGGAUGACAUGGCCUUUAACAGACCCUGUGCAGGCGGAGAGAGUUACGUGAACUGAAGCGGAGCCUGACACAAAUCUUGCCAGCGCUGAUGCUACGUGCAUGAUCUGAUCUGCCCCCCGCCGCUCGCCGAUUGGUCUGUGACUGUGAGGGAAUGGUGAGGCAUUGCGGUCUACGGUGGAGGAGCUGGGCUCAGUGGGAGACAGAAUCCCUCAGAUAAGUGAGUGCCUCAAGGUCUGGAAGCCGGCCCACCUCGGGAUAACAGGCGAUGGAAUAGCGGGACCCGUAUCUGCCCCAGUUUAUGCUCCCACCACCACAUCUCAUCAACAAUCUCUCCUCCUGCCUG